CCUACGGGUGGCUGCAGUGGGGAAUAUUGCACAAUGGGGGAAACCCUGAUGCAGCGACGCCGCGUGAGCGAUGAAGUAUUUCGGUAUGUAAAGCUCUAUCAGCAGGGAAGAAAAUGACGGUACCUGACUAAGAAGCACAGGCUAACUACGUGCCAGCAGCCGCGGUAACACGUGGGGGGCAAGCGUUAUCCGGAUUUACUGGGUGUAAAGGGAGCGUAGACGGCUUGGCAAGCCAGAUGUUAAAGGCUGGGGCUCAACCCCAGGACUGCUUUUGAAACUGUCAUGCUAGAGUGUCGGAGAGGCAGGCGGAGUUCCUAGUGUAGCGGUGAAAUGCGUAGAUAUUAGGAAGAACACCAGUGGCGAAGGCGGCCUGCUGGACGAUGACUGACGUUGAUGCUCGAAAGCGUGGGGAGCAAACAGGAUUAGAUACCCCAGUAGUC
rnacentral:rRNA from 1 species